GACCAUAUUUAAACGCGUCUACAUGUUGUAAGUGGCACUUUGCGAAUCAAGUGUUUUGCUACUUUGUUAUACGUAUAAGAAAAUUAUGAGUUAGAAACCAUGUUUUUUUUUCAGAAAUAACUGAAGUGCCAUCGUAACUGUUAUUGUUUUAUAUAGGUGAAUUUGUUGUUUUUUUUUCUAACAGUUACAGAAUACGAAAGCGAGGCUCAGUGGAUUAAAAAUAGAAGGCAAACGUGAUGGACUUGACGGAAGUGUUCCAAAAUGGAGAAUCUUCGAAAGACUUGGAACACUUAAAUACAGGUAUGAAGUCUUAAUUCAGAUAGAUAAAAUAAGUAGGUGGCGUAUAUUUCAUUAAUUCAGACAAGAUCACCUGAGAUCUAUCUUUGAUAACUUUUUCUGUUAUUUUUUUUUUUUGGAAAAUCAGUUUAGCCGAGACGAGGGAACGUCUAGACUGGGGGCGUAUUCAAACUAAAUUAUCUUUGUGGCAUUCUGCAAGCGAAUUAUUGUGGUUCCUAUUAUGUGAACAAAAAUAAGAGGAAAAUAUUACACUUGAAAACAACUUUAAUGAAUAACUACAAUAGUUUUGUAGUAAAUGAGCAGCAGAACAUUUUUCUUUGUAAUAUUUAGUUACAGAACAUGAAAGUGAGGCUAGGUUUCAAGGAAUGGACGGACAGCAGACGUGUAACUCUUGGUAGACACCAUAUAUGAUGGCGUAAUUUCCAGAGACACCAUUUACUUUUAAAAAGUUAUAGAAUAUUGAAGUGAGGUUUGGCUCCGCAGAAACGCAGAAAGCAGACGUGAAUGGAUUGGCAAACACCUCCCAAUGUGGCACACUUUCCAGAAAUUUGGAACACUCCUAAAUAUGAAAGUUACAGAAUAUGAAAGCGAGGCUAGGUUUUCGUGAAUACAGGAUAUGAAAGCGAGGCUUGGUUUUGGUGAAUACAUGAUAUGAAAGCGAGGCUAGAUUUUGGUGAAUGAAAUACAGGGAGCUGACAGGUGUGGAAUAUGUUACACAGAAAACGUUUCUGGCGCUGGUUCCCAUGUUUCCGCCAUCUGGCACUGGUUCCCAUGUAUCCGCCAUCAUGAUGUAAAGCAAUGAAACGAGUGACCAGAAAGCCUAUUGAUAUUUUUCUACUUGAAUGUAUGGCACACGAAUGUGGAAGGAAAUACUUAGCAAUGAGGAUGACGACAAUCAUUAGGAAAGAACACAGCGAUGGCAGUCCAGAAACAAGCAUGUUUGAACAGACGACAGCGCAAGUACAGUCAAAGGUGGAUAGAAGAAGAGGAAGAAAAAUGAGAAAAAGAACAGUUUAAAAACAAACAGAUUAAAUU